rnacentral:rRNA from 1 species
ACCUACGGGGCGCAGCAGUCGGGAAUAUUGCGCAAUGGAGGAAACUCUGACGCAGUGACGCCGCGUAUAGGACGAAGGUCUUCGGAUUGUAAACUAUUGUCGUUAGGGAAGAGAAAGGACAGUACCUAAGGAGGAAGCUCCGGCUAACUACGUGCCAGCAGCCGCGGUAAUACGUAGGGAGCAAGCGUUAUCCGGAUUUAUUGGGUUUAAAGGGUGCGUAGGCGGAAUGCCAAGUCAGCGGUAAAAUCGCGGGGCUCAACCUCGCUCCGCCGUUGAAACUGGCGUUCUUGAGUGGGCGAGAAGUA